GAAAUGCGAUACGUCAUGCGAAUUGCAGAAACUUGUGAGUCAUCAAAACUUUGAACGCAACUUGCACUUCCGAAAGGGAGUAUGUCUGUUGGAGUGUCUGUUCAUCCCCACUUUCGCCCCCAGCUCCGGUUGGUCAAGGCGGGCAGUGCCGGCCGCUUGUCGCACGUCUGUUUACUCGGACGACGGGCAAUCGAGUCUAGAUGAAACACCAAUCAACCGAACUCGCCCCCGCUCUUGCCAAAGAGAGCUCGGACGACGCGACGUGAGUUCAGGACUGUAAAAGGUCCGAUACAAACAACGCGUCUUGCAUCCGCAGCCUUUCUUCUGGUACACCAAAGAGAGCCUCGGCAUAACAUGAGUUCAUCCGAUCGGACCUCCAAUCAGGCAAGAAUACCCGCUG
rnacentral:misc_RNA from 1 species